UUAUUUUGAGCUAUAGUAGUUAGAGCCUUACAGUCUUAGGGGCAGAAUUAAUGUAAAAAAUAAUUGCUUGAGAACAUUUAGCCCUUAAGUAUGAAUGCAUAUGUGUGUGUGUAUAAAAUGCCACGUUAGUUAAAUAUAUGAUACACUAACACAAACCCACGGGAAAUGGAUGUGUUGUUCAGUAGAGGCAAAAGACUAAUCGAACCAUCUAGUAACUGGUUCUUCUAAAGUUGCCUUUCUUGUAGGCACAUAAUUUUAUUUGGUACAGUGACUGAUUAGAGGUCUUGGGGAGGAAAUGAUCUCAACCUUUCCUCCAACUUUAAAUGAGUAAGAAGCUUGGCUUGCUGGUAUGGAUCUAGGCAUGAAACGAGAGUGUCCAGUGGGCCACUUUUGAUCAGCAGAAAUGGUGCUGCAGGAUGAACAGAAUAUCGGGUAAGUUGCUUGUGGAUGUCAGACCCCAGGAAAGAUGUUUUUUGUCACCAACAGCAGGACAGUGGCCAUUUAAGUCAGAAUCUGUUAAGGAGUGUUUAACAACUUAGCUGCAGAUACAACUAACCGUGAAAGUGGAUGGCACUGCAGUGUUGGGCCCAUACCUGGCCUUGUCUGGAGGUAGACACAUGAGACUGGCAGGAGAGGGUCCUCAGCAUCCUGGACCCCCCUCGUGGAUACCAG
rnacentral:ncRNA from 1 species